GCUGGAGCCUUAACUGUCUAAAAAUGAAGAAAGCUAGCCAAGUAUCAGUGCAAGCAAGCAGUUAAUAUGGGGGUAUUUAUCUCUCUGCUCUUAACUGUGGCAAUCUACCGAGUUCCUGCCUUGAUUUUGCCUCAAUAAUGGACUGUAACCUGAAAGUGUAAGCCCAACAAACCCUUUCCACCCUCAUGAUGCUUUUUGUAGGAUCUUUGACCGCAGCAACAGCAAUGAAAUUAAAGAAAUGCCUGAGCUUAAACCUACACCAAAAGAACUCCUUAAACGUGCUCCAACUUUGCUCAAAACUAAAAAUAAAGCUGGACCUAGUGAGGCAGAACUGUGGUCCCAUCUAGUUAGGAAGCUCAGGACGGAGGGCUACAAGUUUGAGGCCUGCCCAGGCUACAGAGUAUGAGCAAAGCCUGGACAACAGAGUGAGAGCUUGUCCUAUAAAAUAUAUAUUAUAUAAUAUUACAUUAUAUGUGUCCUAUGACAUAUAAAAUAUAAUAAUAAAGGUAAAGAUAGGCUUGUGUGUAUAGUUCAGUCAUAAAGCUCUUGCCCAUCUUUCUCAAAUGCCCUAGGUUUACCCUAGUAGUAUAGAGAAAAGAAGUGAAGAGAAGGCAGACACUCUGAAGUCAGAAACUGGGUCAAAUCUAAUUUUUAACUGAAAAGAACAGUGAAAUCCUCCCACAGUCUCGGUAGGAAUUGGUUCCCGAAAGCCUCAUGGACCUGAGGACUGCGGAUGCUCAGGUCUCCUGUAUAAAGUGGUGCCGUGUCACACAUUCUCCCAGGUACUUUGAACCAGCCCCAGAUUGCUUACUACAGCAGGUACGGCAGCAGAGCUACACAGACAGCUGCUUCUCUGGGUUAUUUAGUGAUGAGAAAAUGAAAAUCUGUUCUAAAUGCUUAGUGUAGAGAAAACUUUCUUCCCCAUUAGUCCCAGCCUUCAGUUGGUUGACUCCACAGAUGUGGAGAUCACGGUUAUAGAGGGCCAUUUGCACAUGUUAAGCACGGUUAGUAUGAUAGGCUCUAUAGCGUGCCAGAGAGUCUCUGUAUCAGUAGUCAUGACUGUCAUUACUGUGUCACCCUCAAUGGGUGUGAGAUAGGCUGUUGUCUGUACUCCAAGGAGUAGGGUGAAUGAUGAGUGUGUAAAGGUAGUGAAUGAAUGGAACUGUCUAGCUUAGAAUUCUGUAGGUGACUUCCCUACCCUGGUCAUUACCCGUGCUAGGUCUUUCCUAUUCUCCAUGAGUCCCUCUGUAUAUAUCACAUUUCCCACACUAGUUCUGCACCACACCUCCAGGCCCAGGACCUUGCUGCUCCUGCUUAGGUCUCUAACCUUCCCUCCACCCUCCUGUUGGGCACCACAUUUUGCCUGUCCUGAUUUGCUUCAGGUUGCUGUGAUAAAAACAACCUGGCCAAAAGCAACUUGGGGAGAAGGGGAUCUAUUUGGCUUACUUCCAGGUCUCAACCCAUCAUCGAGGGAAGUCAGGGCAGAAACUCAAGGUAGGAGCUUGAAGUGGAAACCAUAGAGAACCACUGCUAACUGCCUUGCUCUCUAGAUUGCUUGCUUGCUCAUACUCAGCUUGCUUUCUUAUACAGCUCAGACCCACCUGCCUAGGGAUGAUGCUGCCCACAGUGGGCUGGGCCCUCCUACAUCAAUCACCAAUGAAGAUCUUUUCUCUGACCAAGUCGAGGUUCCCUCUUCUCAGGUGACUGUAGGUUAUGUUCAGCUG
rnacentral:lncRNA from 1 species